rnacentral:rRNA from 1 species
CACGUAGGCGGACUGGAAAGUUGGAGGUGAAAUCCCAGGGCUCAACCUUGGAACUGCCUUCAAAACUAUCAGUCUGGAGUUCGAGAGAGGUGAGUGGAAUUCCGAGUGUAGAGGUGAAAUGCGUAGAUAUUAGGAGGAACACCAGUUGCGAAGGCGGCUCUCUGGACUGUAACUGACACUGAGGCACGAAAGCGUGGGGAGCAAACA